AGUGAACGCUGGCGGUAGGCCUAACACAUGCAAGUCGAACGGCAGCACAGUAAGAGCUUGCUCUUACGGGUGGCGAGUGGCGGACGGGUGAGGAAUACAUCGGAAUCUACUUUUUCGUGGGGGAUAACGUAGGGAAACUUACGCUAAUACCGCAUACGACCUACGGGUGAAAGCAGGGGAUCUUCGGACCUUGCGCGAUUGAAUGAGCCGAUGUCGGAUUAGCUAGUUGGCGGGGUAAAGGCCCACCAAGGCGACGAUCCGUAGCUGGUCUGAGAGGAUGAUCAGCCACACUGGAACUGAGACACGGUCCAGACUCCUACGGGAGGCAGCAGUGGGGAAUAUUGGACAAUGGGCGAAAGCCUGAUCCAGCAAUACCGCGUGGGUGAAGAAGGCCUUCGGGUUGUAAAGCCCUUUUGUUGGGAAAGAAAAGCAGCAGGUUAAUACCCCGCUGUUUUGACGGUACCCAAAGAAUAAGCACCGGCUAACUUCGUG
rnacentral:rRNA from 1 species